UUUAUUUAUUCAUUUUAGUAAUGGUAUAAACAGUGAAAGGCGGUGGAUUGUCCAGAUGCUGGUCGAUGUGGAAAAAAUAACUGAGUUGUUUGGUAGUCGCUGACGCGGAGCUACAACCGAGGGCAGCUAUCCACCGGUGUGUGUCAGAAAGAACAUGCGGGGAACGAGGCGGCGAGGCGACCGCCGAUCGACCGGUGGUAGAUCGUGGAUCAGGGAAACCGAAGGCAGGAGAAGCAGGCGGCUGCCGGUCGGAGCGUGAGGUGAACUGAAUUUCAGGUAAGAAGUUAUGACCUGCACUCUAUUUGGGUCAG
ensembl:lncRNA